rnacentral:rRNA from 1 species
UACGGGGGGAGCAAGCGUUGUUCGGAUUUACUGGGCGUAAAGGGCGCGUAGGCGGCGCAACAAGUCACUUGUGAAAUCUCCGGGCUUAACCCGGAGCGGCCAAGUGAUACUGUCGUGCUAGAGUGCGGAAGGGGCUACUGGAAUUCUCGGUGUAGCGGUGAAAUGCGUAGAGAUCCGGAAGAACACCGGUGGCGAAGGCGGCCUGCUGGGCAGUUGCUGACACUGAGGCGCGACAGCGUGGGGAGCAAACAGG